GUGAAUCAUCAAAUUUUUGAACGCAAAUUGCGCUUCCUGGCAUCCCGGGAAGUAUGCCUGUUUGAGGGUCAGUAUUAAUAAUAAGUCGGUUUAGUGACAAAUUGUGAGGUUUCCGGAGUUUGGGCUAUUUUAACAUUUUUGGUUAAGAGGGUUAAAAUUGACCUUUUUUGCGCAUUUUUAAAAGUACAUAACUUUUUUUUGUUCGUCUAUUGCUACUGCCAGAAUCUUCAUUGAUGCGAUCACA
rnacentral:misc_RNA from 1 species